rnacentral:misc_RNA from 1 species
AGUAGUGAAAGAACACUUUUAUUAAAAAAAAAAAGAAGAUUUAAUAAUUAAAAAUAAUGGAUUUGGCGUCUACAUACAAUGUAUUUUUCAACACAAACACGCCCGACGAUCACGAAUCUUCUCAUAUCCAUUUAUGCACAAACAAUGUGGACGAAAUUAAUGAAAACUGCUUACCAAUUUAUUGGGAAAAUUUGAGUGUGCACGCAAUAAUUAAAAAAGACCGGUGGUUACGUUCGAGCAUUACGACUAGAAAACUUUUGUUAAAUAAAGUCGAAGGAUAUAUACCUCCGUGUUCACUUGUAGCCAUCAUGGGACCAAGUGGUGCUGGAAAAAGUACUUUAAUGGCUGCUCUGGCUAAUAAACUUCCAGCCCAAAUAGAACUCGAAGGAAGUGCGAAAAUAGGAAGUCUUUCGGUUAGAAAUUUUGAAAGCCACAAUUUUGGAUUUAUGUACCAACACGAUUUAUUCUGUGGAGUUUUAACCGUAAAAGAGCAUCUUUAUUUCAUGGCUAAAUUAAAACUGGACAGGAGAACAACUGACAAAAAUCUGAAAGCUCGAGUAUCGGCUGUUAUAGAAGAAUUAGGUCUCGGUCAAUGUAUGAACACUAGGAUUGGAGCUAAUGGGGAAAAUGGAAAGAUAACGUUAUCGGGUGGUGAGAGAAAAAUUGUGUCGUUUGCAACUGAGCUUCUUACCGACCCACCAUUUUUAUUCUGUGACGAACCGACAACAGGGUUGGAUUCAUACAGUGCUCAGAAAGUCAUUAAAGUUAUGCAACGAUUAGUGUCUGAUGAAAGAAAAACGGUUGUCUGUAUAAUUCAUCAGCCUAGUACUGAACUUUUAAACGCAUUCAACCAGUUGAUUUUGGUAGCUGAUGGAAGAAUCGCCUAUUCAGGACCACCCAAUAAAGCUAUUUCGUUUUUUGAGAGUGUUGGUUAUCGCUGUCCCGAUAAUUAUAACUCAGCAGAUUUUAUUAUGAAAAUAUUAUCAGAUAGCAACAAAUCUGUAAAAACGGUUUGUGAUGAAUUUGCAGCUAGUAAGCACGCAGAAAUAGUAAAAAAUGCUAUUGCAAAUGAAAUAUAUUUUGAUACAUCAAGUUCAUCGGUGCUUCGAAAUCACUUAUCGCCGUUUUGGCCGGUGAAACUGUACCACUUGACCGGAAGAUAUCUUCUAGAGAAAGUUCGCAACCCCACCAUUGACAUCCACAGGUUUUUACAAAAAGUCGGGAUCGCUAUCAUGGUCGGCCUGUGUUACUUAGGCACAGUGCAACAGACUCAAGUUGGCAUACAAUCGGUGCAGGGCAUAUUUUUCAUGCUGAUCACGGAGAACUUUUUCACGCCCAUGUAUUCGGUGAUGAAUCAACUGCCCACACAAUUGCCCCUGUUCAGGAGAGAGUACACUUCGGGCCUUUACGAUGCCCCGACUUUCUAUAUCGCCAACAUAGUCUCGUUCGUUACAUGUUCAAUAACAUUUUUGGAUCCUUAUCUUUGGCGUUAACAUUUGUCCAGCCAUUCGACAAUGUGAUUAUGAUCUUAUCAGGAAUAUUUGUGAACCUCAGGAGUAUACCGUGGUUUCUGCAUUGGGUAGUUGAGAUAUCUUGGUUUGAAUUGGGAUUUGAAGCGCUCACUAUUAUUCAUUGGCAAA